rnacentral:rRNA from 1 species
AGUGAACGCUGGCGGUAGGCCUAACACAUGCAAGUCGAACGGCAGCACAGUAAGAGCUUGCUCUUACGGGUGGCGAGUGGCGGACGGGUGAGGAAUACAUCGGAAUCUACUUUUUCGUGGGGGAUAACGUAGGGAAACUUACGCUAAUACCGCAUACGACCUACGGGUGAAAGCAUGGGAUCUUCGGACCUUGCGCGAUUGAAUGAGCCGAUGUCGGAUUAGCUAGUUGGCGGGGUAAAGGCCCACCAAGGCGACGAUCCGUAGCUGGUCUGAGAGGCGGAUCAGCCACACUUGAACUGAGACACGGUCCAGACUCCUACGGGAGGCAGCAGUGGGGAAUAUUGGACAAUGGGCGCAAGCCUGAUCCAGCCAUACCGCGUGGGUGAAGAAGGCCUUCGGGUUGUAAAGCCCUUUUGUUGGGAAAGAAAAGCAGCAGGUUAAUACCCCGCUGUUCUGACGGUACCCAAAGAAUAAGCACCGGCUAACUUCGUG